rnacentral:misc_RNA from 1 species
UACGGAGGGAGCUAGCGUUGUUCGGAAAUACUGGGCGUAAAGCGAACGUAGGCGGCUUAGCAAGUCAGGGGUGAAAUCCCAGCGCUCAAAUCUGGAACUGCCUUUGAAACUGCUUCGCUUGGAUCCUGGAGAGGCGAGUGGAAUUCCGAGUGUAGAGGUGAAAUUCGUAGAUAUUCGGAAGAACACCAGUGGCGAAGGCGACUCGCUGGACAGGUAUUGACGCUGAGGUUCGAAAGCGUGGGGAGCAAACAGG